GAUGAACGCUGGCGGCGUGCCUAAUACAUGCGAGUCGAGCGAACGGACGAGAAGCUUGCUUCUCUGAUGUUAGCGGCGGACGGGUGAGUAACACGUGGAUAACCUACCUAUAAGACUGGGAUAACUUCGGGAAACCGGAGCUAAUACCGGAUAAUAUUUUGAACCGCAUGGUUCAAAAGUGAAAGACGGUCUUGCUGUCACUUAUAGAUGGAUCCGCGCUGCAUUAGCUAGUUGGUAAGGUAACGGCUUACCAAGGCAACGAUGCAUAGCCGACCUGAGAGGGUGAUCGGCCACACUGGAACUGAGACACGGUCCAGACUCCUACGGGAGGCAGCAGUAGGGAAUCUUCCGCAAUGGGCGAAAGCCUGACGGAGCAACGCCGCGUGAGUGAUGAAGGUCUUCGGAUCGUAAAACUCUGUUAUUAGGGAAGAACAUAUGUGUAAGUAACUGUGCACAUCUUGACGGUACCUAAUCAGAAAGCCACGGCUAACUACGUGCCAGCAGCCGCGGUAAUACGUAGGUGGCAAGCGUUAUCCGGAAUUAUUGGGCGUAAAGCGCGCGUAGGCGGUUUUUUAAGUCUGAUGUGAAAGCCCACGGCUCAACCGUGGAGGGUCAUUGGAAACUGGAAAACUUGAGUGCAGAAGAGGAAAGUGGAAUUCCAUGUGUAGCGGUGAAAUGCGCAGAGAUAUGGAGGAACACCAGUGGCGAAGGCGACUUUCUGGUCUGUAACUGACGCUGAUGUGCGAAAGCGUGGGGAUCAAACAGGAUUAGAUACCCUGGUAGACCACGCCGUAAACGAUGAGUGCUAAGUGUUAGGGGGUUUCCGCCCCUUAGUGCUGCAGCUAACGCAUUAAGCACUCCGCCUGGGGAGUACGACCGCAAGGUUGAAACUCAAAGGAAUUGACGGGGACCCGCACAAGCGGUGGAGCAUGUGGUUUAAUUCGAAGCAACGCGAGGAACCUUACCAAAUCUUGACAUCCUUUGACAACUCUAGAGAUAGAGCUUUCCCCUUCGGGGGACAAAGUGACAGGUGGUGCAUGGUUGUCGUCAGCUCGUGUCGUGAGAUGUUGGGUUAAGUCCCGCAACGAGCGCAACCCUUAAGCUUAGUUGCCAUCAUUAAGUUGGGCACUCUAAGUUGACUGCCGGUGACAAACCGGAGGAAGGUGGGGAUGACGUCAAAUCAUCAUGCCCCUUAUGAUUUGGGCUACACACGUGCUACAAUGGACAAUACAAAGAGCAGCGAAACCGUGAGGUCAAGCAAAUCCCAUAAAGUUGUUCUCAGUUCGGAUUGUAGUCUGCAACUCGACUACAUGAAGCUGGAAUCGCUAGUAAUCGUAGAUCAGCAUGCUACGGUGAAUACGUUCCCGGGUCU
rnacentral:rRNA from 1 species